GUGCACGCUGGCGGUAGGCCUAGCACAUGCAAGUCGAACGGCAGCACAGUAAGAGCUUGCUCUUACGGGUGGCGAGUGGCGGACGGGUGAGGAAUACAUCGGAAUCUACUUUUUCGUGGGGGAUAACGUAGGGAAACUUACGCUAAUACCGCAUACGACCUACGGGUGAAAGCAGGGGAUCUUCGGACCUUGCGCGAUUGAAUGAGCCGAUGUCGGAUUAGCUAGUUGGCGGGGUAAAGGCCCACCAAGGCGACGAUCCGUAGCUGGUCUGAGAGGAUGAUCAGCCACACUGGAACUGAGACACGGUCCAGACUCCUACGGGAGGCAGCAGUGGGGAAUAUUGGACAAUGGGCGCAAGCCUGAUCCAGCCAUACCGCGUGGGUGAAGAAGGCCUUCGGGUUGUAAAGCCCUUUUGUUGGGAAAGAAAAGCAGCAGGUUAAUACCCCGCUGUUCUGACGGUACCCAAAGAAUAAGCACCGGCUAACUUCGUG
rnacentral:rRNA from 1 species